AACUUGACCCUAGUUUGGCAUGGUGAAGAGACCUAAGAUGUGUACGAUAAGUAGGAGGACCCCUUGCAGGAAUGAGUAGGUGGACUGGGGACAUUGCUAGGUGGGGAGUUUGACUGGGGAAGUACACCUGUCAAACAGUAAUGCAGGUGUCCUAAGGUGAGCUCAGGGAGGACAGAAACAUCCUGUGGAGCAGAAGGGCAAAAGCUCACUUGAUCUUGAUUUUCAGUACAAAUACAGGCCCUGUGUAAGUCUGAAAUCCAGCAGGGCAGUCAACUUGUAAAGCU
rnacentral:ncRNA from 1 species